UCUUAUGGGUGAGCAGAUGAAGUGGUUUCUUGAGAUGGAAUCUACUCCUGAUGAAGAUGCUAUGAC
rnacentral:pre_miRNA from 1 species